AGAGUUUGAUCCUGGCUCAGGAUGAACGCUAGCGACAGGCUUAACACAUGCAAGUCGAGGGGCAUCAUGAGGUAGCAAUACCUUGAUGGCGACCGGCGCACGGGUGAGUAACGCGUAUGCAACCUGCCUGAUACCGGGGUAUAGCCCAUGGAAACGUGGAUUAACACCCCAUAGUACUUUUAUCCUGCAUGGGAUGUGAGUUAAAUGUUUAAGGUAUCGGAUGGGCAUGCGUCCUAUUAGUUAGUUGGCGGGGUAACAGCCCACCAAGACGAUGAUAGGUAGGGGUUCUGAGAGGAAGGUCCCCCACAUUGGAACUGAGACACGGUCCAAACUCCUACGGGAGGCAGCAGUGAGGAAUAUUGGUCAAUGGACGAGAGUCUGAACCAGCCAAGUCGCGUGAGGGAAGACUGCCCUAUGGGUUGUAAACCUCUUUUAUAAGGGAAGAAUAAGUUCUACGUGUAGAAUGAUGCCUGUACCUUAUGAAUAAGCAUCGGCUAACUCCGUGCCAGCAGCCGCGGUAAUACGGAGGAUGCGAGCGUUAUCCGGAUUUAUUGGGUUUAAAGGGUGCGUAGGCGGUUUAUUAAGUUAGUGGUUAAAUAUUUGAGCUAAACUCAAUUGUGCCAUUAAUACUGGUAAACUGGAGUACAGACGAGGUAGGCGGAAUAAGUUAAGUAGCGGUGAAAUGCAUAGAUAUAACUUAGAACUCCGAUAGCGAAGGCAGCUUACCAGACUGUAACUGACGCUGAUGCACGAGAGCGUGGGUAGCGAACAGGAUUAGAUACCCUGGUAGUCCACGCCGUAAACGAUGCUCACUGGUUCUGUGCGAUAUAUUGUACGGGAUUAAGCGAAAGUAUUAAGUGAGCCACCUGGGGAGUACGUCGGCAACGAUGAAACUCAAAGGAAUUGACGGGGGCCCGCACAAGCGGAGGAACAUGUGGUUUAAUUCGAUGAUACGCGAGGAACCUUACCUGGGUUUAAAUGGGAAAUGUCGUAUUUGGAAACAGAUAUUCUCUUCGGAGCGUUUUUCAAGGUGCUGCAUGGUUGUCGUCAGCUCGUGCCGUG
rnacentral:rRNA from 1 species